rnacentral:lncRNA from 1 species
AGAUGACUUCAGGCUCAACUACAAGCAGUUCAUGAAGACGGCCUCCCUGGAUGCUGAUGCCAGCAAGACCAGGGCGGCCUCUUGCCUGGUGAAAAACGUCCUCGCCAAGAAAAUGCAGUACGAGCAGAGGAUCAAGAUGGAGCAGAAGGGGCUGCGGGGCAGCUCGACCUCCUCCGGGCCAUCUUCUGCUGGCACCGACCUGCUGGGGGAUGGCCUGGAGGGCAAAUCCAGCUCGCUGUCCCGCUCGGACUGCAGCUUCUCAGCUGAGGACCUGCGGGGUGGUGGGAUGCCGGUGGCCGUGGGGGACACCACUGCCACCCGUCCCACCAAGGGAGUGGUGCUGAGCGAGGCGACGAGGGAGAACGUCUGCAAGCUGAAGACGACCUUCAACGAACUCAACGAGAGGAUGAAGUACCAGGAGGUGCUGCAGGGCCACCGGCUGCCCGGUGCCACCGAGGAACCGUCGACCGAGAGGAUCCGCUACCGGCGAGCACGUGCCUUGUUUGAAGCCCAACCAGAGGUGGGGAAGACGCUGGAUGUUGCCCCCAGAUUCGAGAGAGGGCCGAGGCCGUGGCCCAGCUUGAGGCAGCGAGCCAUCUGCCCCGGCCACCCCCAAACCCUCCCCUUCGAGGCCGACCGCCCGGCGCUCCCCGCCCCGCCGCCCCGCCGCCUCUUCACCUCCCAGGCGCAGGACGUGAGGCUGGUGCCGCAGACCCGGCAGGAGGAGAAGCCACCGGCGGCGCCCCGCCAGCCACCCAACCCCAGCACCCCAGCACGGAGGUCCCCACCAGCCAUCCCCCCCAAGCCGGAGGAUAAGGGGAAGGGGCGCAUCCCCCAGCCCCGGGACGUGCGCAAGUUGGUGAAGAGCAGCUACAGCCUCUGCUUUGGAACUGCCGGCGCGUCCCACGGCACCACGGCACCGGCCAGCGGCGGGGAGCCACCGGCGGCCACCCCCCUCGUCAUCCACUGCACCUCGGUCCGCCGACAGGACGCGGCCACCGAGCCCGGGGACGGGGAAGCGCUGGCAGCCGCCAGCCGAGAGCCAGAGCCGGCACACGCCGAGGGUGCCGCAAAGCUUGCCAGCGGCCAGCCCUCGCCUGCCCGGGGCUCCCCUGUCCACAUCACCAGGGUCCAGGCCACGCGGAGGGAGGUGGCCGCAGCGGAGGAGCCACCGGCGUCUCCCCCGCGCCGGGAACGGAGUGAGCUCAGGGUGCCACCACGGGCGCCCACGGCCGAGGGGGUGCCGCACGUGGAGACCCAUCUCCAUGUCCUGGUGGGCCGGCGGUCCCCGGCGGCAGGCGGGGAGGGGUAUCCGGCCCAGAGCAGCACCGUGCUGCGGACAGAGAAGACCGUUCUCCUCCCACCACCACCCCCAAGUCCCACGGAGGGAAGGGACGGACGUGGCCAGGUUGGCACCAGAGGGCUCCGUGCCACCG